AGUGAACGCUGGCGGUAGGCCUAACACAUGCAAGUCGAACGGCAGCACAGUAAGAGCUUGCUCUUACGGGUGGCGAGUGGCGGACGGGUGAGGAAUACAUCGGAAUCUACUUUUUCGUGGGGGAUAACGUAGGGAAACUUACGCUAAUACCGCAUACGACCUACGGGUGAAAGCAGGGGAUCUUCGCACCUUGCGCGAUUGAAUGAGCCGCUGUCGGAUUAGCUAGUUGGCGGGGUAAAGGCCCACCAAGGCGACGAUCCGUAGCUGGUGUGAGAGGAUGAUCGGCCACACUGGAACUGGGACACGGUCCAUGCUCCUGCGGGAGGCAGCAGUGUGGAAUAUUGGACAAUGGGCGCGAGCCUGAUCCAGCCAUACCGCGUGUGUUAAGAAGGCCUUCGGGUUGUAAUGCCCUUUUGUUGGGAAAGAAAAGCAUCAGGUUAAUACCCCGCUGUUCUGACGGUACCCAAAGAAUAAGCACCGGCUAACUUCGUG
rnacentral:rRNA from 1 species